CCAAAUAAAGCGUUUCCUCUGCAUCUACAGAAACUAGGAAGUUAUUAAAUGUAGCUUAUUUUUGAAAUGCUACAUUUACUUUAGGCCCCCUAGGUCCUAGUGAAGGAAUGAAUGAGUGUUAAUUUAAUUCAAUCAGCCCAAUGAAUGAAGUCAUAAUAGUGUGCUGAUCUAACAUGACAUCUUACUGUUUUAUGACUCCAUUCUUUAGCUUUAUGACCAGGCUGACUCCAUGACUGCUUUUGUUGACUGUUUGCUUGUCUGUUGAUGAAUGUGAUUGGUCUCUGGUUGAAGUUCUCAUGUGAUUUUUUUAAAUCACUUUCCAACAGGCAUUAACUUCAAGGAAGUAAACCGAGAAAACAAAAACGCUGAAUUUGGCGAGAUACACGCGUCCAUUGACACAUUGGCGUUCACAUUUGGCAAUGUAGCGUCUGACUUUCUUAUGGGAGAUGUGGACAGCCAAUCAGGGUUGGGGAUCCCCCAGACCAGGAGAAGCAGGCUCUCUGCGGAUUCUGAGGGGAAGAAUGACCUAGUGGGCCCAGAGGAGGAGGAUGUUGGCCUGACGCUGCAGAGGAACGUCAGCGGGGUGGAGU